AUUUAUAUAGUUUAAAAAAAACACUACAUUUUCACUGUAGAAAAAAAGAAAAAUUUUAAUAAACUCUUUUAUAAAUU
rnacentral:tRNA from 1 species